UUUCCGUAGGUGAACCUGCGGAAGGAUCAUUAGUGAAUACAAACGCUUGAGUGUCUCUGCCCUAGGCAAGCCUCUCGCACCCUUCACAUCCAUAACACCUGUGCACCGUAAGACGAAAGGCCCUCCUCGGAGGGAGCCCUGCGUCUGACCUUUUUCACAAACAAGUCAUAUGUAACGAAUGUAGUCUUAUUAUAACCUAAUAAAACUUUCAACAACGGAUCUCUUGGCUCGAGCAUCGAUGAAGAACGCAGC
rnacentral:misc_RNA from 1 species